GAUGAAGAACGUAGUGAAAUGCGAUACUUGGUGUGAAUUGCAGAAUCCCGUGAACCAUCGAGUCUUUGAACGCAAGUUGCGCCCGAAGCCACUAGGCCGAGGGCACGCCUGCCUGGGCGUCACACGUCGUUGCCCCCCCAUCUACUCCUUCGGGAUUGCGGGGGGGCGGAUGAUGGCCUCCCGUGCGCCUAGCCGCGCGGUUGGCAUAAAUACCAAGUCCUCGGCGACGCACGCCACGACAAUCGGUGGUUGCGAAACCUCGGUUGCCCGUCGUGUGCGUUCGUCGCGCAUCGAGGGCUCGAAAAAAUGCUCGGCUCCGGCUGGGCUUUCAACGCGACCCCAGGUCAGGCGGGGUUACCCGCUGAAUUUAAGCAUAUCAAUAAGCGGAGG
rnacentral:misc_RNA from 1 species